GUGCCCACUUCGGCAGCACGUAUACUAAAAUUUGAGAUGAUACAAAGAAGAUUAGCAUGGCCCUGGGCAAGGAUGACAUGCAUUUUUGUGAGGCGUUCCGUAUUUUU
ensembl:snRNA U6 U6 spliceosomal RNA